rnacentral:rRNA from 1 species
CCUACGGGGUGCAGCAGUGAGGAAUAUUGGUCAAUGGGCGGGAGCCUGAACCAGCCAAGUCGCGUGAGGGAAGACGGUCCUACGGAUUGUAAACCUCUUUUGCCGGGGAGCAACGGGGUCCUUGCGAGGGCCCACUGAGAGUACCCGUAGAAAAAGCAUCGGCUAACCCCGUGCCAGCAGCCGAGGUAAUACGGGGGAGGCGAGCGUUAUCCGGAUUUAGUGGGUUUAAAGGGUCCGUAGGCGGGAUGUUAAGUCAGCGGUAAAAUGUCGGGGCUCAACCCCGGCCUGCCGUUGAAACUGGCGGCCUCGAGUGGGGGAGAAGUAUGCGGAAUGCGUGGUGUAGCGGUGAAAUGCAUAGAUAUCACGCAGAACUCCGAUUGCGAAGGCAGCAUACCGGCGCCCUACUGACGCUGAGGCACGAAAGCGUGGGUAUCGAACAGGAUUAGAUACCCCAGUAGUC